UGUAUUCUAAUCUGAUCAACUGCAGGAUGAAAGUUGUAUCUCUAAUCCUCUCCAUCCUUCUCCUCAUCAACUCAACACGAUCGCUCUUCUUCCAGCAGUCAUGCCUUACUGCUGGAACAUCAUGUUCACUUCCUACUCCUACCACAGCUAUUAGUAAUCAGUGCUGUCAGAACUUAAACUUAGCGUGCAUUGACCCCAAUCCACCAGCUGAUCCUACUGUUGUUGAUAUUACUCCGGCUGCUUUCCUUGCAAGACCAAGACAAUGCAUGACAUUUCCUUGAAGACUAUUGCUGCUGCAUGAAACAUGAGCCAAGAAAUAAUGUUAUUAAAAAUAAUAAUAAAUUUUUCAAGCAGUAA